rnacentral:tRNA from 1 species
GCCGAAGUGAUGGAAUUGGCAGACGUGCGAGACUCAAAAUCUCGUGGUGGCAACACCGUGUGGGUUCGAGUCCCACCUUCGGCACCA